GAUGAACGCUGGCGGCGUGCCUAAUACAUGCAAGUCGAACGCUGGAAAUCUAGCUUGCUAGAUUGAAGGAGUGGCGAACGGGUGAGUAAUACAUAAGCAACCUACCCACGAAGACUGGGAUAAUCUCUGGAAACGGGGACUAAUACCGGAUAGGUAAUCGGAAGGCAUCUUCUGAUUAUUAAAGGUUAAAAACACUGGUGGAUGGGCUUAUGGCGCAUCAGUUAGUUGGUGAGGUAACGGCCCACCAAGACGAUGAUGCGUAGCCGGCCUGAGAGGGUGAACGGCCACAUUGGGACUGAGACACGGCCCAGACCCCUACGGGAGGCAGCAGUAGGGAAUUUUCGGCAAUGGGGGAAACCCUGACCGAGCAACGCCGCGUGAGUGAUGACGGCCUUCGGGUUGUAAAGCUCUGUUGUAA
rnacentral:rRNA from 1 species